UUGCCAUGAUGUCGUAAUUUGCGUCUUACUCUGUUCUCAGUGACAGUUGCCUGCUGUCAAGAAGCUGGUACAGAAGGUUGACGAAAAGAAAUCUCACUGAGCU
rnacentral:snoRNA from 1 species